GAUGAACGCUGGCGGCGUGCCUAAUACAUGCAAGUCGAGCGAAUGGAUUAAGAGCUUGCUCUUAUGAAGUUAGCGGCGGACGGGUGAGUAACACGUGGGUAACCUGCCCAUAAGACUGGGAUAACUCCGGGAAACCGGGGCUAAUACCGGAUAACAUUUUGAACCGCAUGGUUCGAAAUUGAAAGGCGGCUUCGGCUGUCACUUAUGGAUGGACCCGCGUCGCAUUAGCUAGUUGGUGAGGUAACGGCUCACCAAGGCAACGAUGCGUAGCCGACCUUAGAGGGUAAUCGGCCACACUGUGACUGAGACACGGCCCAGACUCCUACGGGAGGCAGCAGUGUGUAAUCUUCCGCAAUGGACGAGAGUCUGACGGAGCAACGCCGCGUGAGUGAUGAAGGCUUUCGGGUCAUAAAACUCUGUUGUUAGGGAAGAACAAGUGCUAGUUGAAUAAGCUGGCACCUUGACGGUACCUGACCAAAAAGCCACGGCUAACUACGUGCCAGCCGCCGCCGUAA
rnacentral:rRNA from 1 species